UAGGGAAUCUUCGGCAAUGGGGGCAACCCUGACCGAGCAACGCCGCGUGAGUGAAGAAGGUUUUCGGAUCGUGAAGCUCUGUUGUAAGAGAAGAACGUGUGUGAGAGUGGAAAGUUCACACAGUGACGGUAACUUACCAGAAAGGGACGGCUAACUACGUGCCAG
rnacentral:rRNA from 1 species